rnacentral:rRNA from 1 species
GCAGUCGANCGGCAGCACGGGGGCAACCCUGGUGGCGAGUGGCGAACGGGUGAGUAACAUAUCGGAACGUGCCCUGGAGUGGGGGAUAACUAGUCGAAAGAUUAGCUAAUACCGCAUACGAUCUAUGGAUGAAAGUGGGGGAUCGCAAGACCUCAUGCUCGUGGAGCGGCCGAUAUCUGAUUAGCUAGUUGGUGGGGUAAAGGCCUACCAAGGCAUCGAUCAGUAGCUGGUCUGAGAGGACGACCAGCCACACUGAGACUGAGACACGGCCCAGACUCCUACGGGAGGCAGCAGUGGGGAAUUUUGGACAAUGGGCGCAAGCCUGAUCCAGCAAUGCCGCGUGAGUGAAGAAGGCCUUCGGGUUGUAAAGCUCUUUUGUCAGGGAAGAAACGGUGGAGGUUAAUACCUUCUGCUAAUGACGGUACCUGAAGAAUAAGCACCGGCUAACUACGUGCCAGCAGCCGCGGUAAUACGUAGGGUGCAAGCGUUAAUCGGAAUUACUGGGCGUAAAGCGUGCGCAGGCGGUUGUGCAAGACAGAUGUGAAAUCCCCGGGCUCAACCUGGGAAUUGCAUUUGUGACUGUACGGCUAGAGUGUGUCAGAGGGGGGUAGAAUUCCACGUGUAGCAGUGAAAUGCGUAGAGAUGUGGAGGAAUACCGAUGGCGAAGGCAGCCCCCUGGGAUAACACUGACGCUCAUGCACGAAAGCGUGGGGAGCAAACAGGAUUAGAUACCCUGGUAGUCCACGCCCUAAACGAUGUCUACUAGUUGUCGGGUCUUUAUUGACUUGGUAACGCAGCUAACGCGUGAAGUAGACCGCCUGGGGAGUACGGUCGCANNAUUAAAACUCAAAGGAAUUGACGGGGACCCGCACAAGCGGUGGNUGAUGUGGNUUAAUUCGAUGCAACGCGAAAAACCUUACCUACCCNUUNA